UUUCGUUACAACCCAAUCGUUAAGAGACGUUUGAGCAAACGACGAGAAAGAAGACGGGAGAUAUUUUGUGUUAUUAAUUUAUUUUCGACUAGGAAAUUGUUCCAAGGAGAAAUAAAAGAAAAGUUCUCGGCCAUUCAAAGAUUAUUUUGAUGACUUCUGGAUAUUUCAGUAUAAAGUUCUUACUAUCCAGAACGGAGUUAGAUGAAAGACGACAGCAUAUAUGGAAUCCUUAGAGGCAGGAGGAUGCCUCUAAGGAUUACCUGUACAUGAAAUUCCGCUGCAAACCGGAAGUCACGUUAUUUCGAUUCAAAAGUCUUCCCCCGAAAGCAGUUAUAGAUGAUCGGCACGACUCUAUUGUUAAAAGAAAAGAAUGACGUACGACGGCACUGCUAAUUGCAGUCGUCUUCGGUUCCUACAGAACUGAAAAGAGAAGAAACGACAAUGAAUAGCUUUAACACGCAACACUUCGCUCGUUAUUUCUCACGUCUUUCUGUUGGCUUUCCAGUUGAGAAAAGUCGAGGAUACAUUUAUUUUACACUCUUACUGAUAUAUUACUGGUACCUCACAAUUCUUUGCGUAUUGGAACACAGAGUGACGAUACUGUUGUACUUUUUCCGUACGACAAAGUGAACGGAAGUUUAUGAAAUUCUCAUGGAGA